rnacentral:rRNA from 1 species
GUGGGGAAUAUUGCACAAUGGGGGAAACCCUGAUGCAGCGAUGCCGCGUGAAGGAAGACGGUUUUCGGAUUGUAAACUUCUAUCAGCGAGGAAGAGAACGGACAGUACUCGAACAAGCAGCCCCGGCUAACUACGUGCCAGCAGCCGCGGUAAUACGUAGGGGGCGAGCGUUAUCCGGAAUUACUGGGUGUAAAGGGUGUGCAGGCGGCAUUGCAAGUUUGAUGUGAAACCCCGGGGCUUAACUCCGGGCAUGCAUCGAAAACUACAGAGCUAGAGUACAGGAGAGGAAAGCGGAAUUCCUAGUGUAACGGUGAAAUGUGUAGAUAUUAGGAAGAACACCAGUGGCGAAGGCGGCUUUCUGGACUGAAACUGACGCUGAGACACGAAAGCGUGGGGAGCAAACAGG